GUUCCUUUCCAGUUGAAUCUGGCAGCCGAGCCUCUCCACCCUCUCACCUGACAGGUGCAGUGCCUGGCCCUGGAACCCGCCCGCCCAUCAGCCAGGGAUGGGAGCCGCAGAAGCCUCAUUAGCAUCUCAAUUAAAGGUCAUCCCAGGUCAGCCUCACAGCCAGGAUCCCAGAGGAAAAGGAGAAGGGGUCCCCCAAAACUGGGAGUACCUGCUGGUCCUACGCACCAGAUAGAAGUGUUCUCUGUGCCACAGACCUGAGCACCCACAGAAGCUCAUGGGAAGAGCUGGGUCUGCAGAACAAGCAGUGUUCUUACGGUGAGAUAAGGACUCUGGGGGCAGAGAUAAGAAGCAAGGGCUGGGGGACCCUGGGGGAGGCAGGAGGAGGGACACAUUUCAAAUGAUGCCCUGGCAUAGCAGAUGGAUCUUGAAGAACAAGGGGUUUACCAGACAAAGAAGAGGGUCCACCUCCCCUCAUCCUUAAAACAAGAGCCUGUGGACCAGGGUUCCACCUGCUAGCUAAGCUGUUGGACAGGUGGCUUGAGAUACGUUCAUGAAACCUCGCGUAAGAAGGGGGAGGCUGGCUCUUUCUUCAUUUUUCAGUUCGUGAAGAAAGUGACCCUCCAAAACAAGAACCCAGUUCUCUGAAGUCUCAGAGCCAGACAGCAGCAGUGAUAAGCAGAAUCCAAAAAGCUUCUUGUCUGAGGUGGCCUCCUGCCCUUUACCUUCUGAGACAGACCAGCCAUAGACUCCUAGGGAACCAGACCUCCAGGAGGGGCUCAGCCAUUCCCACACAAAGCCCAUGGAUCCAUCGGCUCGUGAGGCGCUGUCUCCUUGGCUGUCCUUGGCUGUGUGUCCCUGAACUGGUCCCACCCCUCCACACUCCCAGCUACCCUUAGAAGAAACUCCAUUCUUCCUUGCAUCGAGCCCCUAAACUAGUGUCCUACAGGCAAGCUGCCCAGGUGCCCUGGCUGUUUGAUCUGUGAGGUUCUGAGAAGCUAACUCCUCCCUGCCCCUUCUGUUUGCUAACUGAGCCUGAAACCUGAGUACUGGCUUAAGGCAGCCUGACAAAUAGUUUUCCUCUCAAGGACUCUGUGAGAAAGUCUGAUCUGAAGAGCGUGGUGACUCUGGCAAGUCCUGACAGAGUCCAAGAGUGGCUUGGCUUGGAGACCACAGUAUUAGGGAUCUGGAAUGGGCCAGGGCAAACCUGUUGUGAAAAAAGGUAUUGAGGACUAUACUUUGGUCAGAGCCCCAUUUCAAAUAUUACACACACACACACACACACACACACACACACACACACACUUUCCCUCCCAAACCAGGGGAUCCUUCUGUAGCCUAUGCUAUCCUGGAACUCACAGUGGUGCUCCUGCCUCAGCUUUCCAAGUGCUGGGACUGUGGAUACAUUGUUGUCGUGGUAUGGUUUCCCAGCAGGGCAGAAGUACCUAAAACAGCAAAAGCUUCCUGUUGUCCCAUUUCUUUCCUUCCCCAGCCCAGAGGGACCCACUGUGGCUUGUUCAUCCGUUCCAUCUCUUUCUGUGUCUUUUAGACUUACAUGUUUGUGGUGUUGUAUAUUGAGACAGGGUUUCAAUGUAUAGCCAACCUAAACUUGCUUUAUAACUCAAGCUGGCCUUGAGUUCAUGAUCCUCCUGCCUCAGCCUCUCAAGUGCCAUGAUUACAGAUAUGUAUACCUUGCCAGUUUGCACGUAUUUCCAAAAAAGAAAAAAAACUUUAAAAAGUCCUAUGUGUGACUUAUCAUAUCAUAGGCAUCACUCUUUGACUUCCAUUUUUGUUUGUUUGUUUGUUUAUUCAUUGGUUUUGUUUUAUUUCAUUUUUUCUAGACAAGGCUUCUUUGUGUAACAGCUCUGGUUGUCUUGGAAUGCCUUUUGUAGACCAGGCUGGCCUCGAAUUCACAAGGGAUCCACCUUCUUCUGCUUCCCAAGUGCUGGGAUAAAAGGCGUGCUCCGCCAUAGCCCGGCUCCAUUUUUGUUUUUAGACUGGUUGUCUUUGAAAGGCAUUUUUAAGCCAGGCAUAGUGGUGCAUCCCUUAGAGGCAGGUGAAUCUCUAUGAGUGGUGUGUCAGGCUGCCUUGUUACAAAGGCCCUGCCCCUGUCUACAUCUACCCCGUGCUGGGUACAUGGGGGAUCGAAGGCCUCAGGACCACCCACGUUUGAGGUGAGUUGUUUCCCAAGUCUGAGGCUGCUUUCCUGACUUCCAGAAGAGUAGACUCUUGUCUGCCAUGUCAGGGACAUUUUUUUUUUACCUUGUCUCAGAAAGAUCCACUUCCCAGGGCUUCCUGUUGCCUCUCCCAGAGCUCCCAAACCAUCCCUUAAGUAAGGGGCUGCCUUCCCUGCCCCAUGCCAGCCACCCACCAACGGUUAGUUUGGCCAUAAACUAUGCAGUGUCUAUAGGGGAAGAAGUGAACCUUCAGGGUCUGCAGGGGGUGGGCAUUAGGAUUGACAGCUUGUCCUGCCUCUUUAUCCCAGAGAUAGAAGACUAGAAGGAAUCUCUGUAGCUUUGGUGCCUGUCCUGGAACUAGCUCUUGUAGACCAGAUUGGCCUCGAACUCAAGAGAUCUGCCUGCCUCUGCCUCCCGAGUGCUGGGAUUAAAGGCAUGAGCCACCACCUCCCAGCUUCAAUGUUUUUUUCUAGAUCCAUCCAUUUGCCUGCAAAUUUCAAAAUGUCAUUAUUUUUUACCUCUGUGUAAUACUCCUUUGUGUAAAUAUACCACAUUUUCUUUAUCCAUUCUUCAGCUGAGAGGCAUCUAGGUUGUUUCCAGGUUCAGGCUAUGACAAAUAAUGCUGCUAUGAACAUGGUUGAGCACAUGUCCUUGUGGUGUGAUUGAGUGUCUUUUGGGUAUAUACCCAAGAGCAGUAGUGCUGGGUCUUGAGGUAGAUUGCUUCGAUUUGUGGUAUGUUAACUUAUUGAAAUUCCCUCCCCUUUUCCCUUUUCAGCUUUUAUGCUUUCUAGUAUAAAAACAAGUCACCCACUAAAAUGAACCCCUUUACUCUUAGAUUUAGUGCUAACUACAGGGCUGUCUACUAUGGCAAAGAGCAUCCUUUUUUGCUCCAUUAUGUAUAUAAACCCAAUGUGAUGGUCCAGAAGAUUUCUCUCUGCCAUCCUCAGUUUAGUGACCUGGAAAGAUGCUUAGGAGUUCCCCACUAGAGACUUUUCCCUUUGGUCAGUACAGGGCUUAACAACUUCAGCGCUGCUGGCAUUCCUAGCCGUGCAAUUCCUUGUUGUCUGGGCCUGUCUUGCACUGCAGGUCACAGCAAUAUCACUGGCCUCUCUGCACUAGGUGACAGUGGGAAUUCCAAGCAGUUGCAACCUAAAACGUCUUAAGAUAUUACCAAAUGUCUUCUGGGGAGCAAAGUUACCAAGACUGAGAAUAACUAGGUAAGGCUUUGUUUCCAGUGACAUUCCAAACACUGGGACAGUCCACUUCUAUGUACUAUGUUCAUUUCUCAGUGUCUCCCAGCCCAACUGGGCUGGCUAAGGGCAUCAGUUGGCUAAUGGAAGUGUGACAAAGACAGGAGUGUUUGGAGGGACCCACACACCAGUUCUCCUUGGGGAUUACUCAUGGGCUGUGGGGAGAAGGGUAGUUCAGUAAGUCUCCAUGAAGGAGGCCUGGGAGAAGAGCCCUUCAAGCCUUCCAGGAGUCUCCCCGUCUGGUGUGUCCAGUGGACAUCGAUCAAAGUUUCCAGGAGGUGGGAAAACGCAGAAGAGGAAAGAACAAAGAUGACGCGGUGAUCGCUAAGAAUUAGAAGUCUCUGCCCUCCUGAAGAAGGUCAGAGGGACAGUGUAGUAACCAUUUGUAUUAAGAGGUGUCUGUCUGCAGUCCCAGUAGGCUCCGAGGUCUGGUUGCAUCUCCCCACCUUUCUGAGUUCUGAUUGGGAAAGUGUCCAUAGUCCCACAUUUAUUUGUAGUGAUAAUUUGUGUUUUAACAAAUCAAGCUUCCCUGGAGAUCAGAGUGCAGAACUAAGCCACUAGAGGCCAGCAGUGAUGGCACACACAUUUAAACCCAGGACUUGGGAGACAGAUGCAGGUGAAUCUGUUUGUUCUAGGCCACCCUAGGCUCCACGAAAUCGAUCCAGUCUUUAAGAGAAACAGCUCACAGAAAGCUGGUUCCAGCACUUGAGAUCCCGCGGGAAGAGACAGGAGGAGUUCUUUGCAGUCUGAGCAGUAUGGAGAGGCAGUCUGAGGCCAGCAUUGCCCUUUUGGUCUCAGGAUUCGGUAGAGGUAAAAGGUCUCUCUAGUGGCUGGCUGCACUGC